UUUGUAUCGAUAUCCUAAUUUAUCUAUAUCAAGAGGUUUAUCAAUCUAUUUAUCACGUAAAAAAAUCAACACAAAUAGAUUUUAGGCGUAUAGAAAGUUUCAAAUCUACGAAAAUUGUAUUAUUCAAUAAAAAAUAUGGCGCGAGAACAUUUCGAAGGCGCCAAAGUACAAUCGAUAUUAUCGAUGCCUGCGAUACAUUGGAGGGACAGCUUCAGAAUGAUCAAAGAAUUGAAUGUGCGAUUCACCGUAUCGUCAGAAAAUUUUUGAGUACGUAUUUUUACCUUUUUUUUUUGCAUGUUAUAUGUAAGUAACAACAUUUUUAUUGUUAAUACAUUGUUACUUUGUUAUUCGUUCAUAACGAAAUGUAACAUAAAUGUGGACUAUUUCUUUCUUUAUUUAAAAUCAAUAUGUUAACCGCGUAAUAAAUUCACUAAAACUUAAAAUCUUAUAGAAUUGACCUUUUGAAUUCUGGAACAUUCUAAUUGUAUUAAAUUUCCUAACAGAUUCCUUAUGUGAUAUAUGUACAUCGUUCAACUGAGACUACUAUGAAUGUAUCUUCAGCAUGAGUCAGCAACGUCAGUAAUAUUAGCGGCAGAAAGGUGUUCUUGAUUAUUCUGCGAUAGGUGAGUCGUAAAUUUUCCACGCCAAGAAAUUAUGGUUUGGCAAAGUUGGCUAUGAGAUUGAAUAAUUGUAAAACGCUUUCUAAACAGAAUAUCUACGAGACAAUAUCAAUCUUUGGAGAAUUGUUCGAUAAUUUUUUUUUCUUAACAACAAAAUAAUAUAAAAACAGUUCAAUUAUCAUUUACUGGUGUCCAAAUGGUAAGUUAAUAAGUAUUUAUUGCACCAUCCAUACAUUUCAGUGUUAUAAUAUAUAGACAUAUAUCAACAGUCUAUAAAAUAUGCAGAAAGACCAUAAUACUAUUCGGAUAGUCGAAUUGAACUCCUUGCUCGGUUGCCAUUCUCUGCUCUUUUCCCGUGCUGUCUGAAUAUGAAUUGCAAAAUAAGAUAAACACAAAUAUCGAAUAGAAAUAUUUUGAUAUAAUUGAUGAAGUUUAUUGUUAAAGUAUGUAAUUUCCCAUGUUAUAUACGAUAAUGAUAGUAAUCGUGGCUAUACCACUGACUAUACGUUCUCGGUUGACCUAUUCUACUUUGACGAAGUGACGGAAAUCAUGGGAAGGAUAGGUACAUGUCCCUUGUAUACCCCUUCCACUGAUGGAUUUAGUAGUAGAGGAUGCGUUAAGCGAGACGCUGUUUACUUAUUCUCAUUCUGUCAACUAACCAGAGUAGUUUUUUAUUUUGUGUGCCUUUCAGCGAAAUUAUAUUUUUCAAAAUUUUCAUUUACAUUAUUGUUACGUGAGAUUUACUUCAAAGAGUAUUUUCAUUUAUAUCCUAAAAUAUCAAAAUAUCAACGCGUAGAUAUUGUAGCUGGACAAAAUUGAAAAUUUACUUCACUUAAAACAAUUAGUGAAUUAAUUGAGGGCAUAAUUUCACUGUUAUUGAGGAACUAAAGUUCUUACCUUCUAACUUCUUAUAUAUGCAAAUGUAAUAGUACAAUGUGGGAAGCUAUGUUGGUAUUAUCAUUUAAAAUAGGAAAAUUCUUGUCCUCUUUAGUAUACUAAAACAUCCAUGGUCUAAACAGGAUUCUAAUUGAAGAAACAUGUAAGUUUAACUAUCGUUACAGGUCUUCAAACUUCGCUCUUUUCAUCCACAAAGAUCUAUUUUCUUCAAUUUUCCCUUCCAAAAUCAAGCAAGAAACUUCUACAUAGACUCGACCACUCUACUGGUCAAUCUCCUUUCCACUUAUAACCUUUUACCAAACAUCAUUUUUCACAUUUUCAGAAAUCAAGUCCGUGAACUCUCAACGACACAUGUAAUCCAACAAAUGCAUCGUUUUUUCAUCAAGAUCCAAUUCACUCUUCCGUUGUAUCUUCAUCUUCGCCUACACACUUUCGACCAGGUAGACUCGUCCUUGGCGGAAGGGUGGUAUCGGCCAUGCGGAAACGAGCCACGUGUCGUUAAGCAGCGCGUGCUCGUGAUACAUGGUUCCGCGAAACUCGGUCGCCCGGAGACCGAGGCUCGAAGGGCGUAGGUUGGCCGGAUUUCGCUUGGAGGGUCCGAUUGUGCUCGGUGUCUCGUAAUUAGUGGGGUGCGUAGCAACGCGUGCUUCACCGUCAUUACGUCACAAACUUCGAUACAGACAUGGAUCACGAUUCCUUUGCGAGACACGUUGUGUGCUCGAGCUCGGUAUAAUGACGUCACUUCGUUCAUUUUGCCCGGAUCUUCUCUUCCAUUCUGUUGAUUCGGUCCGACGUCGAGCUCUCACACCUUCGAACUCGAUUCGUUCUGCCAGACCUUAUUACGUGCCGAGUCCUCAUGGACUUUGCCUCGCAACUUGGAACACCGAAGUAUGCAUGUUUCCUUGAGAUUGAAGCCGGGGAUGAACCCUCGUUUUUGUCAGGAAUUUCUCGUGGAUCUCCUCUGCUCGCCUCUCGGAUUGCAUUCCCUUCGAGGUGGAAUUUGAAUGAAACGAAUAUCGCUGUUUACGGUUGUUUCGGUUUCCAGGCGAUUUUGAUGUUUCCAAAGAAAUAUACAAGGACUUGGUGAUACGCAGUUCAUCGCUGAUAGUUUCUAAUUUUGGAGAAUUUGAUACGAAUUAUUAACAGGAAUGAAAUGGAAUUUAUUUGGGGAUUGCGUCAAAUGCUAGAUAUUAAACUUAAAGCGAAGGACAAUUAAGAUGAAAUUACAAGAACUUACUCUAAUCAAAUGUAUUUGAUUCUAUCUCUCACAGGAGAUUUUAUAUAAGUAGUAUAUGUAAUAUAUUAUUUGAAUGCGUUUUCUAGGAAGAUUAUUUUUUAAUUUAGCGCCAUUGAAUAUUUAUUAAAUCAAACAACGAUUAUUGUACGAACAUAAGAGGUUUCAUACUGUUUCAUAAAUUUCCUGCCAGUAAUAGUUGUUUCAGAUAUGUACUGUUUCUUUGAAUACAGAGUAUGUACAUCAUAUCUCGUUAGAGAUUAUUUUAUGUUUUAAAAUCGGAGACUGCUUUUAUUCGGCAAUUAAAUGCUUUAAUUUUCUUAUCUUAUCAUACGGAAUCCUAUGAUUACAUUUUUUAAAUCUCGCAGAAACAUAUGAUUCCUGAAUUGUCCGCUUAUCUUAAUGAGUAUUAUUAUCAUCUAUCUACAUACAACAAUUUUGUAAAAUUUGGGGAAAUAGAAGUAUUAUGAUAACGUAUCUCUUUUAUAAUCUUUUCUAUGUAUGUAAAUAUAAUUAUAAAAACAUUUUAAUGCAUUUCUGCUACCUUGAUAAAACAGUACGUAAAUUAGUUUAUUUACUUUUCUCAAUGAUGCGAUUAUGUAACUGCUAUAGAUUACUUUACUGCUCGGUCUUUCAUGAAUUAAACAACCGAAUAUUACAAAAAGCAAACACGUUCCCGCGGCAAAACGAAGCUAUACAUACGCUUAAGCCCGGAUACACGCAACCACUUUCGGAUAAUUCAAUAAUCCAGCGUAUUGGCAGGAUAACAGGUCCGCGCGUGUUAUCGUAUCGGCGCUGCAACUUGAUUACGUCUCAUAAUAAAUUGAAACCCUCAUUUCUAGGAAAGAACGAGCGACGGUAUCUGUAAUUUUUGCCCACAAGUAAGAAAUCAAUACUCUGAUACGGUUAUAAAUCCACAAGAUGGCGACAGAACGCGCGUAUCGUGUUUGAUCUUUCGCGCUCGAAAGAGGACAGGGUGGCCGAACAGGCAAAUCGUUUCGAAGAACAAAUAAAAACGCGAGAUCGUCGCGCACGCCGAUAGAUAGCUUAUCUUCGAUACCGUAAAAGAUCCAGGAAUGUAACGCGGCACGGAUUCAAUUUUACCACAAACGGUCGCGAUUCCGUGGAAUUACCGUCCCGAAUUCGAAAGAGCGGAACUCGACCGCGUAAGGAAAAAAAAGUUCGUCGAAUUGAAUUUCGAACUGGAAAUUAACCCUGUAAAACGACGAAGAAAAUAAAGAAAAAAUUCUUGUUCUCACCUUUUGUUCCUGUAAUUUAAGAUUGGCUAAUUUAGGAUAGGUCAGUGGGAAAAUGAAACGUACUCGCGGAUCUUAAUAAUACACAAAUUUUAUUUUAUUCAUUUUUUUUUCUUCCCGCAGAAUCGAGGAAAUCAUUUGUUGAGAGAACAAAACCACUGCAAUACGAAUAGCAGUUACAAGUAAAUAUGUACAAUAAUAUAAGUGGUUGCCUUUCUUUCUUUAUUUUUUUUUUUUUGUGUUUUUGCUUUAUCAUCGGUUUCCUGUUUUCUCUGUUUUGUGGUUUAUUAUUCCUACUUUCGCACUGUUAAUGAUAAUUGAUAAUGAUAAUCAAUUAAUUAAUUAAGAAUAAUAAUGAUAAUAACUAUAAGAAUCGUACUGAAUCAUCAUACAUCCACCCGGUAAAUAGAGGUUCAAUCGUAGGCAUACCAAUCGACCAUUAUCGAAUCAUGACAAUAUUGACAAAUUGACAGAAUGUGCCUUUUUUUUAAGCUAGCUUCGCAUUCCACCCGUUCACUCUCCCUCUCUCUCUCUUACUCUCUCUCUCUCUCUCUCUCUCUCUCUCUCUCUCUCUGUCACUCUCUCUCUGUCACUCUUUCUCUCUCUCCCUAAUUCACCCCUAUUUCUCCUCAGUACAACUUCUCCAUUUAUUAUCUCUCUUAUAUCACCCGCUUUUCGUUACUGUUCUUCUAAUUCCCUUUCCUGCUUCGUUAUACGUUAAUUUCGUUCAGCUCGCGUUUCUGUUCGCGCGUAAUUUUUCGACAUACACCCCGCAACACGCAGCAAAAUCUUACACUCUCUUUCCUACUCGCAUUCUCUCUCACUCUACGUAAAUGUUUCUCCUGAUAUUUCAUAGUGUAUCUUUCGUAUGCUUUCUAACUCCCCGCCCAAUCUCUUUCUCAACCGCUACUUCGUCGUUUCUUCGUCGCUUCUAUCACCCUCUGUUUAUCCUCAUCGUUCGCGCGACGCAAUCAAAAAUUUCGACGUUCGCUACGAUUCCGCCCCUCCACGCCCCUUCUUCGUCGGCUCUCUCAUUUUUUUCUUUCGUCAGUUUCCUAAGAUUAAGUCCACUAAGCAUCCUCUACCAUUGAUUAAAUGCUCGUCGCGACGAGAGAGGGCCGAACGUGGCUUUUCCCGAGGACCGUGUUCUUCCACCAUCGUUUACUCGCUUUUCGUUUCCCUGUAAACGUUCCACUGUUUCCCUGCUCUCUUUCCUCAACCCUUUUGUCCGUUCCUCUUGCACACGCACGCACGCGCCACAUCUCCCUCUCAUUCUUUCGUUCGAUCCGCACCGCACUUUUCCACGAAAAUUCUCGUCGAUCUCUCGCGUGGGCUAUAUCCUCUUCCCCGCUCAACCUUCCGCGCACCUGUCCUUUGCCCGUGUUUCUCUCCCCCCCCCUGUACCCAUCCCUGUACACCCCUGUUUCUCCCAGCGCUCAAGCCGUUUCGUCGGUUUAAAUCCCCUUCGUGUGCUCACCCUCUCGAGGAUCGUCCUUGCCUGGUUUACGCGGCUCUCGUCGCCUCCUUUCCUCCCUGUGCCCGUCGCACCCCCCCCGUUUUCCUUUGCUCCCCUUGCCUGGCCAGAGAGACGUUUUUUGUUCGUGGCAGUUUUACGUGGCUCAACAACGACCGAGAAAAGGACCGCACUUUUCGUCUGAAGGAGUAUCGCCACGCGGCAAUUGCGCGAUUGCAACGUCGGCACCGUGAAACCUACGCUUUUACCAUCCACUCUCUUUCCCUCGUUUCCGGUUACCCUGUGUGCUCGUAUCAUCGUUUCCUCGUCAGCGUCGAAGUUUCUCGCGACGAGCUUCGGCUCGAAUUCAAAGUACCUGCAUUGUCGGUUCGUUCGAGUCACCAAGCGAGCAGACCAAGUGUACCGGCACGUUAGAACCGUUUCUUGCCUCGUUAGAGUAUUCAGAAACGACGCUGUCGAUACGGCUGGUUACUCUUUGGUGACAAAGGUCGCUCUUAGGUUACCUUGUUCGCGUGUAUCGAGAGAGAUCUUUGGGAUCUCCGGUUGUCAAGAACUAUGUUCGAGUUUGGGAUAUAUGUAUAUAUUAAGAUCUUGGAAAUUUCGAGCUGAAAGGAACCGGUGAUCAUUCUAAACGAAGGGGUUCGAUCGUUCGACGUAAGGAAAAAUCGACGUUACGCGAGUGCAUGGACGAUCCUCGAGUUACAAAUCAGGUCGAUGUCCGUGGUCGAGCGCAACAGGAGACGACACUCACGCUCUCUCCUUCACUCCGUUAUUCUUCGUGUAUUUUUUUCCCCUUUAUUCGAAAUGUCUUUUGUUGUUUUUUGUCUGUUUCAUCGUAACAUUUUUUACUUUUUUGGUAUCUUAUUUUCUCUGAAAAAGAAAUGCCCAUCUCGCACAUAACGAACACGUUAACGGCGACGUGUGUUGGGUCAUUAAAAAGGUUCUGGUCUCGAUCCCCUUUUUUCUUUUUUUGUUCUUUUUCGUUUACCCCUCCUCUGUCAUCGUUACUCUUCCUUCCGCCGACGAUCUCCGUCGUAUUUUCGAUUUUCUCGUUUUUUAUUUUUUUGUCGUUAAAUAGUAAUCAUCUAAACAAUGAAAGCGGCAAAACGUCUCGAGGAAAAAGGUGUCCCUGAGCGCGACGGAGGGAGACGACGACGACACAAUGCUUCUUUGGGAGGGA